GCACCGCUUUUUUCUCUCUUUGGCGCUGAGAUUGAGAAAAGGGAACUCUCACGAAACUCAACUCUCUCUCUCUCUCACCCUCUUCGCUCGCACCCAAUCGUCCCCAUUUCAUUUCAUUUCAGAUCGAACCCUUCUUCCUCCUCGUACUCCCUUUCCCAUUCGCCGCGGAGUUACUCACACCCACACCUUACUAGGCUCGCAUUCAGACUAUAGUGGUGGAUGCUACGGUGGUACGUGUUUCCUCAGAACUAUGGCUAGUCCAACUGGAGAAUUGACAAGCCAUAACGACGGUACCACCGACCGGAUGGGAACUGAACAAUGUGAAUUGUCAGAAAAAACGCCUCAGAUAGGCUCUGAAGGUUUAGAGAAUGAACAAAAGGAGCUUGGUACUGAGUUAACCAGUUCGGUUAUUGAAGAAAAAUCAAAUCAAGUUUCUGCCAUUGUAACAGAGAAUGCCGUUAUUCAACUGCCUGAACCGCUUCAACAUGACUUACAAAAGAAUUGCCAGACUGUAGAAGGUUCAUGCCUUGAACAAAGUACUGUCGAAAAAGUCACUGUUGAUUUAUCUAAUGAUAAACCUGAAAACAAAUGCAAACCAUUGUCUGAAAAUGUUCAAAGUGAACCCGUAGAAUCCAUUCCUGCCGUUGUUGUUGAAGGCCAAAUGCAAUCCAAUCCAUCUCAAGCGAAUAUGAGUUCUGUGAAUGAAUUAUUGGAUCAACCUUCUGGAGAUGCUGUGAACAAUAUUAGUUCCAAUUGUUCAGAAAAAAUGUCUAAUAGCCCAACUCAUUCACAGUCUAGGCGCAAGGGUAAAAAGAACUCUAAAUUAUUGAAAAAGUAUAUGCUAAGGUCGUUAGGAAGCAGUGACAGAGCUUUGCGGUCAAGAACAAAAGAAAAACCCAAGGAACCUGAACCAACUAGUAAUUUGGUUGAUGGUAACAAUAAUGGAGUUAAGAGGAAAAGUGGGAGGAAGAAGAAAAAGAGAAAAGAGGAGGGAAUUACUGAUCAGUUUUCUAGAAUCAGAUCUCACUUAAGAUAUUUAUUAAACCGAAUAAGCUAUGAAAACAGCUUGAUUGAUGCUUAUUCUGGCGAGGGCUGGAAAGGAUACAGUAUCGAAAAGUUAAAGCCUGAGAAGGAGCUUCAGCGGGCUAAGUCGGAAAUUCUUCGACGCAAAUUGAAAAUUAGGGAUCUAUUUCAAAAUUUGGAUUCAUUGUGUGCCGAAGGAAAGUUUCCAGAAUCUUUGUUUGAUUCUGCAGGAGAGAUUGACAGUGAGGAUAUAUUUUGUGCAAAAUGCCAGUCCAAAGAGUUGAGCACUAAUAAUGAUAUAAUUCUUUGUGAUGGUGUUUGUGACCGUGGAUUUCACCAGCUCUGUUUGGAUCCUCCGAUGUUAACUGAAGACAUUCCACCUGGCGAUGAGGGUUGGUUAUGCCCAGGAUGUGAUUGCAAAGAUGACUGCAUGGACCUUGUUAACGACUCCUUCGGAACAAGUCUCUCUAUUAGUGACACCUGGGAGAGAGUCUUUCCUGAAGCAGCAUCAUUUGCUGGAAAUAAUAUGGAUAACAACUCGGGAGUUCCUUCUGAUGAUUCUGAUGAUGAUGAUUAUAAUCCUAAUGGUCCAGAUGAUGUGAAAGUUGAAGGGGAUGAGUCAAGUUCUGAUGAAUCUGAGUAUGCUUCUGCUUCUGAGAAAUUGGAGGGUGGUUCACACGAGGAUCAAUACUUGGGCCUUCCAUCUGAAGAUUCUGAUGAUGGUGAUUAUGAUCCUGAUGCUCCAGAUGUUGAAUGUAAAGUCAAUGAAAAAAGUUCAAGCUCUGAUUUCACUUCUGACUCCGAGGAUCUUGCUGCUGCAAUUGAGGAUAACACAUCCCCUGGACAGGAUGGAGGCAUCAGUUCCAGCAAAAAAAAGGGUAAAGUUGGUAAGAAGCUAUCUCUGCCCGAUGAACUGUCAUCUUUACUAGAGCCAGAUUCUGGCCAAGAGGCUCCCACUCCUGUUUCUGGGAAAAGACAUGUGGAAAGGUUGGACUACAAAAAGCUGUAUGAGGAGACGUAUCACAGUGAUACGAGUGAUGAUGAAGAUUGGAAUGACACUGCUGCUCCAAGUGGAAAAAAGAAACUCACUGGCAAUGUAACUCCAGUGUCACCAAAUGGAAAUGCUUCAAAUAAUUCUAUACAUACUCCUAAGAGGAAUGCUCAUCAGAAUAAUGUUGAAAAUACAAAUAAUUCACCCACUAAAUCACUUGAGGGCUGUUCGAAAUCUGGUUCCAGGGAUAAAAAGUCUGGAUCUUCAGCACACAAAAGACUAGGAGAAGCCGUAGUUCAGAGACUUCACAAAUCUUUUAAAGAAAAUCAGUAUCCAGAUAGAACCACAAAAGAAAGCUUGGCACAAGAACUUGGACUUACUUAUCAGCAGGUUGCCAAAUGGUUUGGCAAUACACGUUGGAGCUUCCGGCAUUCAUCACAAAUGGAAACCAAUUCAGGUAGAAAUGCUUCACAGCAAGUUACUGAUGGCAGAGCUGAAAAUGAGGGGGAGAAGGAAUGUGAAUUAAUAUCUCCGGAGUUCAGUGGAGAAAAAUCAAAAACCCCAAACUCUAGAAAAAGGAAGCAUUUGUCAGAACCCCUAUCUGAAGCACAGCUGGAUAUCAAUGGCUCAGCAGCAAGUUCACCAAAUGUUCAUCUAACGCAAAUAGGCAAUAAAAUGAAGACAAGGAAAAGGAAAUGAUACUUAGUUGAGAAGUCGGGUUUAACCUUUUCCUAAGGCUUCAAAUUGCAGUAUCCAUCCUUUUGUGAGAUUGAGAUCCCAUGAGAUGAUCAGCUCAGAUCUCGAUGGAUUUGUUUCCAUUUAGGAAGGGAACCCUAGUAAAUAUUGCAGCUUAUGUGUUUGACUGUUCACAAUGUAUGGAUAUGGCUCUCAUCUUGCAUUGAUCGUGUGUGGUUCGACAUUCAAGGUGGGUUGUUUUCGGGAAUCAUGAAGCUGCUACGUUGGUCAAUUGUUGGCAAUCCCCAUUUCCUUUAAACAAAAAUUUGUCAUGGAUCUGUGAUUUGAGUAAUAGAGUGGGGGGAUGGGAGCAUCAUAUAUUCCAAUUGCUGCAUGCACAUUGCUUAACUUAAUAACCUAUUAUUAUUGUGAGGAAUGGAAGUAAAAUAACACAUUGAGGGACGCGUGGUUUGAUAAUUUUGGUUGGCUAUAGUCGUUUGCAAAUGCCCAAGUUGGGCUUGUAAUAUAUUCUGGUAGUGGAAACUGGGAAUGACCGCAUUAAAAGGGGGAAAAUACGCAUAAUAUGAUAUUGGCAAUAGUUAAACUUGGCUAUUCUGAA